rnacentral:lncRNA from 10 species
UUACUGCAGCCUCAACUUCCUGGGCUUAAGCGAUCCUCCUACCUCAGCCUCCCAAGUAGCUGAGAACACAGGUGCGUACCACCACACCAGCUAAUUUUUCUUUUCUUUUUUUUUUUCUGUAGAGAUGGGAGCCUCACUGUAUUGCCCAGGCUGGUCUUGAACUCCGGAGCUCAAGUGAUCGUCUUGCUUCAGCCUUGCAAAAUGAUGGUGAAGCUGCAUCAUUGUCUGGGGUAAAUACCUGAGGUUCGUUGUCUCACGCCAAGGGAAUCAAGGACGUGGACACACAAGAAAUGGAGUCCCUGUCUGACCGGGCCAUGUUGUAUGUUCCUUGCUGUACACGUGGUUGACAAAGAAAAGGGAAGAUGGAGCUGCGAUGUUGGACAUGCCUGGCCCCCAGGACAUACAGCCCUGCCGAGCAAAUAAUGAACGUAACUCACAAACUUCCUGCUUAUCAUCAAACGCACGCAUCCACUUAUCAUCAAACACCUCGGGUGACAGAAGAAUGCAGGUCAGCUCCCUGCUGCCUUGGCAUUAUCAAUCAGCCCAGGAACCAUCCUAUAAAAUCUCCAGCAAGCCUUUGUUUCCUUGCAGUCAGCUCCUCUUCCACUGAUUCUGCCUGUUGCUCCCUGAUAAC